GACAGAGGUGCCAAGCGUUAGGCGGAAUCACUGGGCUUAAAGCGUGUGUAGGCGGAUCGUUAAGUACCUUGUGAAAGCCCACGGCUCAACCGUGGAGGGUCAUUGGAAACUGGGGGACUUGAGUGCAGAAGAGGAAAGCGGAAUUCCACGUGUAGCGGUGAAAUGCGUAGAGAUGUGGAGGAACACCAGUGGCGAAGGCGGCUUUCUGGUCUGUAACUGACGCUGAGGCGCGGAAGCGUGGGGAGCAAACAGG
rnacentral:rRNA from 1 species